GAUGAACGCUGGCGGCGUGCCUAAUACAUGCAAGUCGAGCGAACGGACGAGAAGCUUGCUUCUCUGAUGUUAGCGGCGGACGGGUGAGUAACACGUGGAUAACCUACCUAUAAGACUGGGAUAACUUCGGGAAACCGGAGCUAAUACCGGAUAAUAUUUUGAACCGCAUGGUUCAAAAGUGAAAGACGGUCUUGCUGUCACUUAUAGAUGGAUCCGCGCUGCAUUAGCUAGUUGGUAAGGUAACGGCUUACCAAGGCAACGAUGCAUAGCCGACCUGAGAGGGUGAUCGGCCACACUGGAACUGAGACACGGUCCAGACUCCUACGGGAGGCAGCAGUAGGGAAUCUUCCGCAAUGGGCGAAAGCCUGACGGAGCAACGCCGCGUGAGUGAUGAAGGUCUUCGGAUCGUAAAACUCUGUUAUUAGGGAAGAACAUAUGUGUAAGUAACUGUGCACAUCUUGACGGUACCUAAUCAGAAAGCCACGGCUAACUACGUGCCAGCAGCCGCGGUAAUACGUAGGUGGCAAGCGUUAUCCGGAAUUAUUGGGCGUAAAGCGCGCGUAGGCGGUUUUUUAAGUCUGAUGUGAAAGCCCACGGCUCAACCGUGGAGGGUCAUUGGAAACUGGAAAACUUGAGUGCAGAAGAGGAAAGUGGAAUUCCAUGUGUAGCGGUGAAAUGCGCAGAGAUAUGGAGGAACACCAGUGGCGAAGGCGACUUUCUGGUCUGUAACUGACGCUGAUGUGCGAAAGCGUGGGGAUCAAACUGGAUUAGAUACCCUGGUAGUCCACGCCGUAAACGAUGAGUGCUAAGUGUUAGGGGGUUUCCGCCCCUUAGUGCUGCAGCUAACGCAUUAAGCACUCCGCCUGGGGAGUACGACCGCAAGGUUGAAACUCAAAGGAAUUGACGGGGACCCGCACAAGCGGUGGAGCAUGUGGUUUAAUUCGAAGCAACGCGAAGAACCUUACCAAAUCUUGACAUCCUUUGACAACUCUAGAGAUAGAGCCUUCCCCUUCGGGGGACAAAGUGACAGGUGGUGCAUGGUUGUCGUCAGCUCGUGUCGUGAGAUGUUGGGUUAAGUCCCGCAACGAGCGCAACCCUUAAGCUUAGUUGCCAUCAUUAAGUUGGGCACUCUAAGUUGACUGCCGGUGACAAACCGGAGGAAGGUGGGGAUGACGUCAAAUCAUCAUGCCCCUUAUGAUUUGGGCUACACACGUGCUACAAUGGACAAUACAAAGGGCAGCGAAACCGCGAGGUCAAGCAAAUCCCAUAAAGUUGUUCUCAGUUCGGAUUGUAGUCUGCAACUCGACUACAUGAAGCUGGAAUCGCUAGUAAUCGUAGAUCAGCAUGCUACGGUGAAUACGUUCCCGGGUCU
rnacentral:rRNA from 1 species